rnacentral:siRNA from 1 species
ACGCUCGAGAGGUCCGAUCCCUC